rnacentral:ncRNA from 1 species
GUAAAAAUUUUAUAAGAAUAUGAUGUUGGUUCAGAUUAAGCGCUAAAUAAGGACAUGACACAUGCGAAUCAUACGUUUAUUAUUGAUAAGAUAAUAAAUAUGUGGUGUAAACGUGAGUAAUUUUAUUAGGAAUUAAUGAACUAUAGAAUAAGCUAAAUACUUAAUAUAUUAUUAUAUAAAAAUAAUUUAUAUAAUAAAAAGGAUAUAUAUAUAAUAUAUAUUUAUCUAUAGUCAAGCCAAUAAUGGUUUAGGUAGUAGGUUUAUUAAGAGUUAAACCUAGCCAACGAUCCAUAAUCGAUAAUGAAAGUUAGAACGAUCACGUUGACUCUGAAAUAUAGUCAAUAUCUAUAAGAUACAGCAGUGAGGAAUAUUGGACAAUGAUCGAAAGAUUGAUCCAGUUACUUAUUAGGAUGAUAUAUAAAAAUAUUUUAUUUUAUUUAUAAAUAUUUAAUAUUUAUAAUAAUAAUAAUAAUAAUAUAUAUAUAUAAAUUGAUUAAAAAUAAAAUCCAUAAAUAAUUAAAAUAAUGAUAUUAAUUACCAUAUAUAUUUUAUAUGGAUAUAUAUAUUAAUAAUAAUAUUAAUUUAUUAUUAUUAAUAAUAUAUUUUAAUAGUCCUGACUAAUAUUUGUGCCAGCAGUCGCGGUAACACAAAGAGGGCGAGCGUUAAUCAUAAUGGUUUAAAGGAUCCGUAGAAUGAAUUAUAUAUUAUAAUUUAGAGUUAAUAAAAUUAAUUAAAGAAUUAUAAUAGUAAAGAUGAAAUAAUAAUAAUAAUUAUAAGACUAAUAUAUGUGAAAAUAUUAAUUAAAUAUUAACUGACAUUGAGGGAUUAAAACUAGAGUAGCGAAACGGAUUCGAUACCCGUGUAGUUCUAGUAGUAAACUAUGAAUACAAUUAUUUAUAAUAUAUAUUAUAUAUAAAUAAUAAAUGAAAAUGAAAGUAUUCCACCUGAAGAGUACGUUAGCAAUAAUGAAACUCAAAACAAUAGACGGUUACAGACUUAAGCAGUGGAGCAUGUUAUUUAAUUCGAUAAUCCACGACUAACCUUACCAUAUUUUGAAUAUUAUAAUAAUUAUUAUAAUUAUUAUAUUACAGGCGUUACAUUGUUGUCUUUAGUUCGUGCUGCAAAGUUUUAGAUUAAGUUCAUAAACGAACAAAACUCCAUAUAUAUAAUUUUAAUUAUAUAUAAUUUUAUAUUAUUUAUUAAUAUAAAGAAAGGAAUUAAGACAAAUCAUAAUGAUCCUUAUAAUAUGGGUAAUAGACGUGCUAUAAUAAAAUGAUAAUAAAAUUAUAUAAAAUAUAUUUAAUUAUAUUUAAUUAAUAAUAUAAAACAUUUUAAUUUUUAAUAUAUUUUUUUAUUAUAUAUUAAUAUGAAUUAUAAUCUGAAAUUCGAUUAUAUGAAAAAAGAAUUGCUAGUAAUACGUAAAUUAGUAUGUUACGGUGAAUAUUCUAACUGUUUCGCACUAAUCACUCAUCACGCGUUGAAACAUAUUAUUAUCUUAUUAUUUAUAUAAUAUUUUUUAAUAAAUAUUAAUAAUUAUUAAUUUAUAUUUAUUUAUAUCAGAAAUAAUAUGAAUUAAUGCGAAGUUGAAAUACAGUUACCGUAGGGGAACCUGCGGUGGGCUUAUAAAUAUCUUAAAUAUUCUUAC